CGCACGAACAUACAGAAGCACACAAUAAUGCUCUUUAUAGUUAUUAAAAAGAUAAUUAUUGCUCUCUAGACUCUAACUUUAUGUGAAGUUGAAGUGUAUGAAGCCUGCACUCGUCAACCUAGAUGUGUAAACAGCGGAUGUAAGCGUGGUAAGAAUGCUAAUGUUGCUCUUGGAAGACCUACUCGUCAAUCAAGUAAUCUCAACUCAAGCUACGUUUCAGCCAAUGCUGUUGACGGUGGUUUCGAAACUAUGAUUA